UGCCACAAUGAUGAUAUUUAUUUGAUACUCUUGAUCAAGAGGAUGAUGAGCACAUUUACCACCAUAACUUUCCUCUGAGGCA
rnacentral:snoRNA from 1 species